AACGAACGCUGGCGGCAUGCCUAACACAUGCAAGUCGAACGAGACCUUCGGGUCCAGUGGCGCACGGGUGCGUAACGCGUGGGAACCUGCCCUUAGGUUUGGAAUAACUCUCCGAAAGGGGUGCUAAUACCGGACAAUGUCUUCGGCCCAAAGAUUUAUCGCCUUUGGUUGGGCCCGCGUUGGAUUAGCUAGUUGGUAGGGUAAAAGCUUACCAAGGCGCCGAUCCAUAGCUGGUCUGAGAGGAUGAUCAGCCACACUGGGACUGAGACACGGCCCAGACUCCUACGGGAGGCAGGAGUGGGGGAUAUUGGACAGUGGGCGGAAGGCUGAUCCAGCAAGGCCGCGUGAGUGAUGAAGGCAUUAGGGUUGUAAAGCUCUUUUACCCGGGAUGAUAAUGACGGUACCGGGAGAAUAAGCUCCGGCUAACUCCGUG
rnacentral:rRNA from 1 species